rnacentral:rRNA from 1 species
CCAGUGGCGAAGGCGACUCUCUGGUCUGUAACUGACGCUGAGGAGCGAAAGCGUGGGGAGCGAACAGGAUUAGAUACCCUGGUAGUGCACGCCGUAAACGAUGAGUGCUAAGUGUUAGGGGGUUUCCGCCCCUUAGUGCUGCAGCUAACGCAUUAAGCACUCCGCCUGGGGAGUACGGUCGCAAGACUGAAACUCAAAGGAAUUGACGGGGGCCCGCACAAGCGGUGGAGCAUGUGGUUUAAUUUGAAGCAACGCGAAGAACCUUACCAGGUCUUGACAUCCUCUGACAACCCUAGAGAUAGGGCUUUCCCUUCGGGGACAGAGUGACAGGUGGUGCAUGGUUGUCGUCAGCUCGUGUCGUGAGAUGUUGGGUUAAGUCCCGCAACGAGCGCAACCCUUGAUCUUAGUUGCCAGCAUUUAGUUGGGCACUCUAAGGUGACUGCCGGUGACAAACCGGAGGAAGGUGGGGAUGACGUCAAAUCAUCAUGCCCCUUAUGACCUGGGCUACACACGUGCUACAAUGGACAGAACAAAGGGCUGCGAGACCGCAAGGUUUAGCCAAUCCCACAAAUCUGUUCUCAGUUCGGAUCGCAGUCUGCAACUCGACUGCGUGAAGCUGGAAUCGCUAGUAAUCGCGGAUCAGCAUGCCGCGGUGAAUACGUUCCCGGGCCUUGUACACACCGCCCGUCACACCACGAGAGUUUGCAAC